AAGAACACUUCUGCUCUCAGGGCAGAAAGAGGUGCUCGUGGAAUUGCCGACGCUGUUUCUGGGAAGAGAACCACUUACCACUGGAGUUCCUUUGCUGAGGCCUCUGAUGUGCAGCUGUAUUGCUCAAGGAGCCAAUUGCAGGCCGAAGAAAAGCUCUAACAGCAGAACCAGCAUCUACCAAUUGAAAUACCAUAAGAAAAAAAUGUUCAGCUCAUAAAUCACUGUCUGGUGCAAACAGCCUGUGAAAGAGCAAGCACAAAUGCCACAGAACCUGCAUACACAGCCCAAAGUCUGGAUUGUGACUAUACGUUGACCAAGAAAUUUGGACCUUGACAAAAGAAUAAUUGAUUUACCCCGGCUUAAGCUCUUAAUAACAG